CUACAGCACUGCUGCAAAGCCUUGCAAAGUCUCUUUUGCACUAUUCGUCGACUAUUCGUACUAUUCGUCGACUAUUCGCGACUAUUCGUACUAUUCGUCGACUAUUCGCGGACUAUUCGUACUAUUCGUCGACUGUUCGCGGACUAUUCGUACUAUUCGUCGACUAUUCGCACUAUUCGCUUCACUAUUCUAGUUUUAUCAAUUGCCUAUUUAUAAUGUAGUGCAAAUGUCUGAUGAAAUACUACCCGUAUUGCAUUGUAGUAAUAUUUUAAUUUACAAUAUUCUGUACUGACAAAUAAAAGCAA